rnacentral:rRNA from 1 species
AGCGAACGCUGGCGGCAGGCCUAACACAUGCAAGUCGAACGAACCUUUCGGGGUUAGUGGCGGACGGGUGAGUAACACGUGGGAACGUGCCUUUAGGUUCGGAAUAACUCAGGGAAACUUGUGCUAAUACCGAAUGUGCCCUUCGGGGGAAAGAUUUAUCGCCUUUAGAGCGGCCCGCGUCUGAUUAGCUAGUUGGUUGAGGUAAUGGCUCACCAAGGCGACGAUCAGUAGCUGGUCUGAGAGGAUGAUCAGCCACAUUGGGACUGAGACACGGCCCAAACUCCUACGGGAGGCAGCAGUGGGGAAUCUUGCGCAAUGGGCGAAAGCCUGACGCAGCCAUGCCGCGUGAAUGAUGAAGGUCUUAGGAUUGUAAAAUUCUUUCACCGGGGACGAUACUGACGGUACCCGGAGAAGAAGCCCCGGCUAACUUCGUG